rnacentral:tRNA from 1 species
GAGGGUAUAGCUCAGUGGUAGAGUGCCUGCUUAGCAUGCACAAGGUCCUGAGUUCAAUCCCCAGUCCCUCU